GAGCUGGAGGAGAGUGGAUGGUGUGCCUAGCUGGCUGAGGGAGCUGGAGGAUUUUGGACAGGGCAGUACUGCCAGAAGCUAGGGAGAGCAAGAAAGAGCCCUGAGCUGGACAAGACCUAGAGAAUUCCAGCUAUGGUGAUUUAUAGACUAUAUUUGUUGAUCACAUAUGGGUUAUUCCUUUGGGGCCCAUGAGACUGCUCUUGCUGCCAUCCUGAUUCAUACUUAAAAUUUACACCUCAUUUGUGGAAAACAGCGGGGCAGCACUAAGUAGAAGAAGAGCACUGACCUGGGACCAGCAACUCUUUGUGGUUUACUCGGUCAUCCAAAGAAUUCAGAAACACAAAGACAGGAUCCAAAUCUACCUUGGCAACCACCACAGUCUCCAAUGGCUCCGGGAAUUCCUGUUAAAUAGCAACACUAUGCCUACAUCUUUGACAAAAAGAAAGCUUAUACCCUACCAUUCCAUCGCUGUUAUGACUGCUCCAUCGACUUCCAUCUGGGAACAGAGGUUCCCUUUGGGUGCAUUUGCUUCCUCACUGAGUCCAAACUACAGGCACUCCAGAGCUACCUGCGGAAGAGGUUCCUUUGCCCCUCCACAUUUCCAGCAGGAAGCACCGUACUUCUUAAUUGCAAAAAGGAUGGCAUCUUGUGUGCACUACUGAGAGCUGAACAAAAUGACAAUCCAAAACUGGUACACUUUACUGCUUAUUAAUGAGCUGUUUGAAAGACUCUACUCUGCCGAGGUGUUCAAAGUUGGACCUCUGUGGAGCUUAUAACCUAGUAAGGAUCUGGGAAGGAGAUAAGUGGAAGACAGCCUGCUGUGCCAGGUAUGGCCACUUUGAGUAUUUAGUUAUGCAAUUUGGGUUGCACAAGGUCUCAGAAACCUUCCAGAAUUUUAUAAAUUACAUCUUUAGGGAUACUCUGAAACAAUUUAUUUACCUGGACAACAUCCUCAUUUUCUCUGAAACUCAAACUCUCCACCCUCAUCAAGUGUACAUUUCUUGGAGAGAGACUGCCGAAACCCCCUGUAUGCAAGAAUCAAAAAAUCUGAGUUUGAUAAGGACACAGUGGAAUUCUUGGGCUAUGUUGUUUUGCCAAAGAACUCACCAUUUGACCUGCAUCAAGUGGUGUCAAUAUCUUACUGGCUGCUCCGAGGAUGCAUGUGAGGUGCGAAGGUUUCUGGGGUUUGCCAAUUUCUACAGGUAAUUUAUGAAAUUAUUCUCUAGCCUAGUUGCACCCAUAGUGGUGCUCCUUCAAAAGGGGGCCCAGUUCACAUGGUCCACGGAGGCUCAGGCAGCCUUUGAUUGACUGAAGAGGGCAUUCAUCUCAGCCCAACGUUUCCUCUAAUUUUUUCCAUCCAUGUGCAGAAUAAAGUUUUGUUAUGCGCACUGACGUAAUGUGUGGAUGUCGCCACCAGUAGAAACAAAAAAAACUUGGAUAUGAUAUAAAACUUGAAAAAGUUACCCUAGGGAUAAUUACUCCAGCCAGGACACGUUAGGCAUUUUAGAACUCACUACUCAAAUGUAAGUGUAAGAGAAAUAAAAAUUAUGAAAUGCAUAGAU